rnacentral:rRNA from 1 species
UACGGGGGGGGGCAAGCGUUGUUCGGAAUUACUGGGCGUAAAGAGCUCGUAGGCGGCUUGGCAAGUCGGGUGUGAAAACUUCAGGCUCAACCUGGAGCGGCCACUCGAUACUGCCAUGGCUUGAGUCCGGUAGGGGACCACGGAAUUCCUGGUGUAGCGGUGAAAUGCGCAGAUAUCAGGAGGAACACCGGUGGCGAAGGCGGUGGUCUGGGCCGGAACUGACGCUGAGGAGCGAAAGCGUGGGGAGCGAACAGG